rnacentral:rRNA from 1 species
CUCCUGGAAACGGGUGGUAAUGCCGGAUGCUCCGACUCCUCGCAUGGGGUGUCGGGAAAGAUUUCAUCGGUAUGGGAUGGGGUCGCGUCCUAUCAGGUAGUCGGCGGGGUAACGGCCCACCGAGCCUACGACGGGUAGCCGGCCUGAGAGGGCGACCGGCCACAUUGGGACUGAGAUACGGCCCAGACUCCUACGGGAGGCAGCAGUGGGGAAUAUUGCACAAUGGGCGCAAGCCUGAUGCAGCGACGCCGCGUGCGGGAUGACGGCCUUCGGGUUGUAAACCGCUUUUGAUCGGGAGCAAGCCUUCGGGUGAGUGUACCUUUCGAAUAAGCACCGGCUAACUACGUGCCAGCAGCCGCGGUAAUACGUAGGGUGCAAGCGUUAUCCGGAAUUAUUGGGCGUAAAGGGCUCGUAGGCGGUUCGUCGCGUCCGGUGUGAAAGUCCAUCGCUUAACGGUGGAUCUGCGCCGGGUACGGGCGGGCUGGAGUGCGGUAGGGGAGACUGGAAUUCCCGGUGUAACGGUGGAAUGUGUAGAUAUCGGGAAGAACACC